UGUCGUCAGCUCGUGUUGUGAAAUGUUGGGUUAAGUCCCGCAACGAGCGCAACCCUUAUCCUUUGUUGCCAGCGGUCCGGCCGGGAACUCAAAGGAGACUGCCAGUGAUAAACUGGAGGAAGGUGGGGAUGACGUCAAGUCAUCAUGGCCCUUACGACCAGGGCUACACACGUGCUACAAUGGCGCAUACAAAGAGAAGCGACCUCGCGAGAGCAAGCGGACCUCAUAAAGUGCGUCGUAGUCCGGAUUGGAGUCUGCAACUCGACUCCAUGAAGUCGGAAUCGCUAGUAAUCGUGGAUCAGAAUGCCACGGUGAAUACGUUCCCGGGCCUUGUACACACCGCCCGUCACACCAUGGGAGUGGGUUGCA
rnacentral:rRNA from 1 species